rnacentral:rRNA from 1 species
AUACGUAGGGUGCGAGCGUUAAUCGGAAUUACUGGGCGUAAAGCGUGCGCAGGCGGCUUUGUAAGACAGAUGUGAAAUCCCCGGGCUCAACCUGGGAACUGCAUUUGUGACUGCAAGGCUAGAGUGCGUCAGAGGGAGGUGGAAUUCCGCGUGUAGCAGUGAAAUGCGUAGAGAUGCGGAGGAACACCGAUGGCGAAGGCAGCCUCCUGGGAUGACACUGACGCUCAUGCACGAAAGCGUGGGGAGC